GGCUGGAUUGAGCAUAUUCUAUGAACUGGACACUUUUAUUUCUUCUUCUGGGAUUUGCUGGUUGCCAACAGUUGCAUACUGCGGUGACACACACUAGUUUGAGCCGUCGGUAGUGAAAACUACAUUUAUGGCAUUCACCUGACAGAUGAUGCUAUGAAUUCGGGGAUUCUAUUUGGUGUUCGGAAUCAAGGGGUAAUGCCAAGGUGCUACACAACUAACAAUAAUUACGAGAAGAAAAAUGAGGAUCAGUUUCACAAAUGAUAAAUUAGAAAAGGUUUUGGACUUGAAGCCCAAAUGAAGAAUCACCUUAUUCCCUCUCCCUCGACUAAAGAUAACCCUCUUCUACUAAGUGCCAGGAUUACCUAAUCAGAAUAUGAAGAAGCUGCAUCGCAGAGACUUGAAUCAUAUGGGUACAUGAAUCAUAUAAGGUACAAUAAAACAAGAGACCAAGACAUGAGUCAGAAACGGGUGGGUGUUGGGGCACCUGGGUGCCUCAGUCGGU